rnacentral:rRNA from 1 species
CAAUAGCGUAUAUUUAAGUUGCUGCAGUUAAAAAGCUCGUAGUUGGAUUUCGGGUGGGAAUGGGCGGUCCGCCGUUUCGGUGUGCACUUGCUACGCCCACCUUGCUGCCGGGGACGUGCUCUUGAGUUCACGCUCGGGACACGGAGUCGGCGAGGUUACUUUGAGUAAAUUAGAGUGUUCAAAGCAGGCCUACGCUCUGAAUACAUUAGCAUGGAAUAACACGAUAGGACUCUGGCCUAUCUUGUUGGUCUGUAGGACCGGAGUAAUGAUUAAGAGGGACAGUCGGGGGCAUUCGUAUUUCAUUGUCAGAGGUGAAAUUCUUGGAUUUAUGAAAGACGAACUACUGCGAAAGCAUUUGCCAAGGAUGUUUUCAUUAA